rnacentral:rRNA from 1 species
UGCAAGUCGAACGGAAGUAGAAAUACUUAGUGGCGAACGGGUGAGUAACACGUGAGCAACCUGCCUUACACGACAGGGAUAACAGUUGGAACGACUGCUAAUACCGGAUAAGACCACACUAUGGCAUCAUAGAGGGGUCAAAGUGAUUUAGCGGUGUAAGAUGGGCUCGCGUCCAAUUAGCUAGUUGGUGAGGUAACGGCCCACCAAGGCGACGAUUGGUAGCCGACUUGAGAGAGUGAUCGGCCACACUGGAACUGAGACACGGUCCAGACUCCUACGGGAGGCAGCAGUGGGGAAUAUUGGGCAAUGGAGGAAACUCUUACCCAAGCAAUGCCGCGUGAGUGAUGAAGGUCUUUGGAUUGUAAAGCUCUUUGAUUGGGGACGAAUAAAUGACGGUACCCAAAGAACAAGCCCCGGCUAACUAUGUGCCAGCCGCCGC